rnacentral:rRNA from 1 species
ACCGGCAAACGGGUGCGGAACACGUACGCAACCUUCCCAGAACAGGUGAAUAGCCCUCCGAAAGGAGGAUUAAUACACCGUAAUAUAUAGAGGUGGCAUCAUUUUUAUAUUAAAGGUCGCGAGACCGGUUUUGGAUGGGCGUGCGCCUGAUUAGGUAGUUGGUGGGGUAAAGGCCCACCAAGCCUUCGAUCAGUAACUGGUGUGAGAGCACGACCAGUCACACGGGCACUGAGACACGGGCCCGACUCCUACGGGAGGCAGCAGUAAGGAAUAUUGGUCAAUGGACGGAAGUCUGAACCAGCCAUGCCGCGUGAAGGAUGAAGGCCCUCUGGGUUGUAAACUUCUUUUAUCUGGGACGAAAAAAGGGAAAUCCUUCUCACUUGACGGUACCAGAGGAAUAAGCACCGGCUAACUCCGUGCCAGCAGCCGCGGUAAUACGGAGGGUGCAAGCGUUAUCCGGAUUUACUGGGUUUAAAGGGUGCGUAGGUGGAUAAUUAAGUCAGUGGUGAAAUCUUCAGGCUUAACCUGGAAACUGCCAUUGAUACUAUUUAUCUUGAAUACUUUGGAGGUAAGCGGAAUAUGUCAUGUAGCGGUGAAAUGCUUAGAUAUGACAUAGAACACCAAUUGCGAAGGCAGCUUACUACACAGUAAUUGACACUGAGGCACGAAAGCGUGGGGAUCAAACAGGAUUAGAUACCCUGGUAGUCCACGCCCU